GUGCUCACUUUGGCAGCUCACGUACUAAAACUGGAGCGACACAGAAAGAAGCAGUACGGCCCUUGUGUAAGGAUGACAUGCACAUGUGUGAAGUAUUCCAUAUUCUA
ensembl:snRNA Gm56216 U6 spliceosomal RNA